AUGAACGCUGGCGGCGUGCCUAAUACAUGCAAGUCGAGCGAACGGACGAGAAGCUUGCUUCUCUGAUGUUAGCGGCGGACGGGUGAGUAACACGUGGAUAACCUACCUAUAAGACUGGGAUAACUUCGGGAAACCGGAGCUAAUACCGGAUAAUAUUUUGAACCGCAUGGUUCAAAAGUGAAAGACGGUCUUGCUGUCACUUAUAGAUGGAUCCGCGCUGCAUUAGCUAGUUGGUAAGGUAACGGCUUACCAAGGCAACGAUGCAUAGCCGACCUGAGAGGGUGAUCGGCCACACUGGAACUGAGACACGGUCCAGGCCCCUACGGGAGGCAGCAGUAGGGAAUCUUCCGCAAUGGGCGAAAGCCUGACGGAGCAACGCCGCGUGAGUGAUGAAGGUCUUCGGAUCGUAAAACUCUGUUAUUAGGGAAGAACAUAUGUGUAAGUAACUGUGCACAUCUUGACGGUACCUAAUCAGAAAGCCACGGCUAACUACGUG
rnacentral:rRNA from 1 species